GUUAUUUGUAAUUUCAGUACAUUAUUAUUUCAGUUCGAUACAUUUAUCAUGUUCUUUUACAUAACACAACACAUAAAGAGAAAAUCCCGGAUAAUCAUAGGUCUUUUAUGUUCUUUUGGAAUGUCAACCAAAGAUGAAGAAACGGAUCUUCCAUCCUUGUAUUGGAUACCAAAACUACAUAAGUGUCCUUCAUAAAAGAGAAUGACCAACGUAUAUACAAGCAUUGUCUUAGGGAGGAACAAAUCCUACUGUGUACAACUUUACUAUUCAAAUAAAACAUUUUCUGAAACUUACAUAAUCAAACUGCUUGUUUUUUUUUU
rnacentral:lncRNA from 1 species